rnacentral:rRNA from 1 species
GGAGUUAGCCGGUGCUUCUUCUGCGAGUAACGUCACAGAUGUAAGGUAUUAACUUACACCCUUUCCUCCUCGCUGAAAGUGCUUUACAACCCGAAGGCCUUCUUCACACACGCGGCAUGGCUGCAUCACGGGUUUCCCCCAUUGUGCAAUACUUCCCCACUGCUGCCUCCCGUAGGAGUCUGGGCCGUGUCUCAGUCCCAGUGUGGCUGAUCAUCCUCUCAGACCAGCUAGGGAUCGUCGCCUAGGUGAGCCUUUACCUCACCUACUAGCUAAUCCCACCUGGGCUUAUCCAUCAGCGCAAGGCCCGAAGGUCCCCUGCCUUUCCCCCGUAGGGCGUAUGCGGUAUUAGCAGUCGUUUCCAACUGUUAUCCCCCACAAAUGGGCAAAUUCCCAGGCAUUACUCACCCGUCCGCCGCUCGUCAUCUUCAAAAGCAAGCUUUUGAAAUGUUACCGCUCGACUUGCAUGUGUUAGGCCUGCCGCCAGCGUUCAAUCUGAGCCAUGAUCAAACUCUGA